UUUCGCAAUGCCCGAAAGGGUGACGAAGCGACGCCGCGUGUGGGAAGAAGGCCUUCGGGUUGUAAACCGCUGUUGGGAGUUAGGAAGUGUGGGAGUGUUAAUAGCGCUUCCACUUGACUAAAGCUCCAGAGGAAGCCACGGCUAACUCUGUGCCAGCAGCCGCGGUAAUACAGAGGCGGCAAGCGUUGUUCGGAAUUAUUGGGCGUAAAGAGCACGUAGGCGGCUCUGCAAGUCAGCUGUGAAAGCCUUCUGCUUGACGGAAGAACAGCAGUUGAAACUACAGGGCUUGAGUGCGGGAGGGGAGAGUGGAACUUCUGGUGGAGCGGUGAAAUGCGUAGAUAUCAGAAGGAACGCCGGCGGCGAAAGCGGCUCUCUGGUCCGUAACUGACGCUGAGUGUGCGAAAGCUAGGGGAGCAAACGGGAUUAGAUACCCCGGUAGUCCUAGCCGUAAACGAUGGGCACUAAGUAGAGGGGUUUU
rnacentral:rRNA from 1 species